GGGAUGCGCAGAGCCCCGUACCAGGGAUGCAGGGAUGCGCAGAGCCCCGUACCAGGGAUGCGCAGAGCCCCAUACCAGGGAUGCAGGGAUGCAGGGAUGCACAGAGCCCCAUACCAGGGAUGCAGGGAUGCUCAGAGCCCCGUACCAGGGAUACAGGGAUGCUCAGAGCCCCGUACCAGAGAUGCAGGGAUGCUCAUAGCCCCGUACCAGGGAUGCUCGAAGCCCCGUACCAGGGAUGCAGGGAUGCCCAGAGCCCCAUACCAGGGAUGCAGGGAUGCUCAGAGCCCCGUACCAGGGAUGCUCAAAGCCCCGUACCAGGGAUGCAGGGAUGCUCAGAGCCUCAUACCAGGGAUGCAGGGAUGCUCAGAGCCCCAUACCAGGGAUGCUCAGAGCCCCGUACCAGGGAUGCAGGGAUACUGGGAUGCAGGGAUGCUCAGAGCCCUUACCUUCGCCGCCAGCCGCUCCCUGUCCUCCUGCAGCUCCCUCCUCUCCUCCAGCGCCGCCGCUCUGCUGCUCUCCUGCUCCUUACCCACAGCCUCCAGCUUCCGCGCUGCCUCCUGUGCCUCUCGCCGGCUCCCGGCCACCAUCUCCUCGGAUGUGACCCGGAUCCGCUCCAACUCCCGUCCGUGCCGCUCCUGCGCCUGCCCCAGCUCCGCCUGCAGCCGCUGCACAGUGUGCUCCCGCUCGGCCGCGCGCUCCCGCAGCGCUGCCAGCUCUGCCUGCAUGGAGCCCAUAGCCUGGCUGUGCUGCUCCAGCUCCUGCCGGUGCUGGCUCUCCAGAGCACCGCGCUCAGCCUGCAGCUGCUGGCACAGGAGCUUGAGCGACGGCAGCUCCGCAGCCAGGCCCUGCGCGGUGCUGAGCUCCUGCCGCAGCGCAGCCACCACCUGCUCCUGCUGCCGGUGCUCGUCCCGGCCGCGCCGCAGCUCCUGCCGCAGCUCCUCCUCGCGCUCGCCCUGGCUCUGCCGCUCCCUCCGGAGCACCUCCAUCGCCACGCGCUGCUUGUCCAUCUCCUCCUGGCACCGCUGCACCUCCACCUUCAUGAGCGAGCAGCGCUCGGCCGCACGUGAGGCUGCCGUGGCCAUCUCGGUCUGCAGCACCCGCAGCCUCUCCUCCAGCUUCUUGCUCUUGUCCGACUCCGCCAGCACCAGGCGCUUGAGCUCCUUGCCCUCGGCCUCCUUGUCGGCCGCCUGCCGGCGCAGGACGGACACCUCGUGCUCCAGGCUCCCGACGAGGCUGCUCUUCCUCUCCAGCUCCUGCACACACUGUGUGAGCUGCUCCUUCAGCCCCUCCUCGGCACGGCCGCGGUCCUGUGCUGCAGCACGCAGAGCGGCCAGCUCCUGCUCGUGGGCCGCGAUGGUGCCGCGGCUCUGGAGCAGCUCCUGGCGCAGGGCCUCGGUGUUCCCGUCCUGCAGCGCCUGUGCCGCCCGUGCUGCCUCCAGCAGCUUCUGCAGCUCCGAUGCCUGCUCCCGGUGCCGCUGGCUCUCCGACAGGGACUCCUGCAGGCUGCUCACCAGGCUGCCCAGCUGCUGCUUCUCCUCCUCAAAGAGGCCCCGCUGGGACUGCAGGGCUGCUUCCUGCUGCUGCUUCUCCUCCUGCAGCCGCAGCACCGUGGCCUGGAGCUCAGCACCCUGACUGGUGAGCACGGACACCUCCUGCUUCAGCUCCUCCAGCUGCGGGACACGAGGGGAAGGGAACAGAACACACAUGGGCUCAGGGGUGACCCACACUGCUCUCCCCCAGGCAGCCUCCCAUGGGAGGCAGGGAUGGCUCCGGAUGUACCUUCAGGGCAUCCCCCAGCACCUCUCCCUUGUGGCUGCUGCUCUCUCCCAGCUGGGCCAGCUGAUCCUGCAGCAGGGAGAGCUUCCCCUGCAGGAUCUCGAUCUUCUCCUCGGAGCAUUUCUGGGGACAGGAGGGGUGGGACUGAGCUGCACAGAUCCAGGCUGCCCAGGACAGCACCGGGACCCCCAUCCCAUGGGAUGUGCCUGCAGCACAGCAGCCCCCCCAGCCCCUGCCCACCUUGUCCUGCAGGGCUCCCCGCAGCUCCGUCUCCAGCUGCCCCUGCUUCUCCUGGGCCUGGGCCAGGGCCGCGUUGUGCUCCUCCGAGAGCUCAUUCAGAGCCUCCUGCAGCUGCACCAAGUGGCUGCCGAUCUCCCGGAGCUGCCAAGGGGGAAAUCCCACAUCCCAGAGGAGCGGCCAAUGGGCAGCACCGCACAGAGCCCAGGCAGGCGCUGGGGAGGGUCCCCAUGCGGAGCCCAGCGCCCUGCACAGCCCCAGGGCAGGACAGGACCCUGCAGCCCCCGUACCUUGAAGGAGAGGUCCCCGUUCUCCUCGGAGAGCUGGCUGAUCUUCCUGUCCAUCUGCCCCUUCUCGGUCUUCAGGUCCUGGCACUGCCUCAGGGCCUCGUGCAAGCGCGCCAGGAGGCUGCAGGGGAGGUGGGGAGUGGGGCUGAUGCUGCUGGGUACGGCCCUAACCCUAACCCUAACCCUGGGUACAGCCCAGGACACCGAGGGCCUCGGUUCCCUGUGCCAUGGGCCAAACGACCCCAGAUCCAGCUCUAAAGCGGAUCCCAGCACACGGAAAAGGGGAACAGGAAGAUGUUUGUGCUUUGGCAGAGCCCAACAGCUCCACAGCAAGGGCAGAGGCAGCUGCAGAGCUCCAGCAAAGGGAAAGGGCAAAGCAAGGACCAGGAGCUUGGGCAUCCUUCCCAGGUAAACAGAGACAGGGCAAAGAGCAGGACGUGGCAGCAAAGAGUGACUGAGCCCAGGCCAGAGCCAGGCAAACCGGGGGGAGCAGCUGGGUAAGGGGAACCAGCGGCACCCCAAAGACUGUCAGUGACAGAGAGCACAUCCCAUGGGGUCUCCCCACAGCAGGGGGGGCUGUUCCCAUGCUGGGGUUAGAGAAGAGCUCCAGGGAGCCCUGAGAGCAGCUCCAGUGCCUAAAGGGGUUGCAGGAAAGCUGGAGAGGGGCUUGGGACAAGGGCCUGGAGGGCCAGGCCAAGGGGAAUGGCUUGAACCUGCCCAAGAGAGGGGAGACUGAGCUGAGCUCUGAGGCAGAAGCUGUUCCCUGGGAGGCUGCUCCUCCUGCCAGGAGGGGACAUUCCAAGGGGAUCACCUCUCGUUCUUCUCCCUGAGCUCCUCCAUCUCCUUGGGCUCCAGCUGCUCUGCAGUGUGCUUCUCAUGGAGCAGGGCCAGGCGGUCGAUCCGCUGCUGCAGCAGGGUGAUCUGAGCCUCUGGGGGGGCAGAACAGACCCAUUACCCCUGCUGACCCCCCAGUGCCCGGGGAGGAUGUGUCCAUCCAGCCCUCCCCAUGGAGCCACCGCAUGGGAACUCUCUGCAGUGGGGGAUGGAUGAGCUGGGCUCCAUUGGGUCAGGCAGCAGGGACCUGAGCCCCGGAGACCCCCUGAUCCCAGUACAUCCCAUUAAGGACUGACCCUUCUCGGUGAUGAGCUUCCGGUUCUCUGCCAGCUCCACCUCCAGCUCAUCCCGGUUCUCCCGCUCCGCAGCCAACUGCUUCCGGAGGCGCCGCAGCUGGAACUGGGGGGUCUGCAGGAUGUCCCCCAUGGGCGAGGAGGGGCCCGCGGGGAGGGCACUGGGGAGGGACAGCACCGAGCCCCAUAGAGAGACAGCCCAUAGAGGAGACAGCCCUGCAGGCACAGACUGGGAACCCCAGUACCACUGCAGGCACAGACUGGGACUCCAGUCCCACCGCAGGACAGGGAAGGGCCCAGCAGCUCUGGGCAGGGUCUGUGCUCAUCAGCCAGGCUCCAAGGAGCUGGUUCCAGCCAAGCUCCAUCCUGCCCAUUGCACAUCCCAGCAUC
ensembl:lncRNA